rnacentral:lncRNA from 1 species
AUGUCCUGCUGAUUGUACCUCACUAUUUCCUUCCCACAGUAAAUUGCUGUCUUGGAUUUUAUGUUUGUAAUCCUUUAUUUUUCCUUAUAUUUACUUUAAACAAUAUAUUUUGUUUGUUUUUAAACUUUAGGUAAAUGGACUCAUACUGUUAGUAAUUCUUUCUGACUUUUAUCAUUUCAAGAUUAAUCCAUCUUUGUAGCAGUAUAUUUUUAAAGCUAACUUUAUUGUGAACCAACUCACAUAAUAUACUCAUCCAUUUAAAAUGACUUUUAAUAUAUUCGUGGAGUUAUGCAACUAUCACCAGUCAAUUUUAGAUCAGUUUGAUACAUGUUUUUACUGAAAUACAACAAACAGGAAAAUGCACAAAUCUACAUGUAAAGUUCAUAUAUUCACAAAGUGAAUACACCUUUGUAAUCACCAUACAUGAAAAAAUAAAAUGGUAGCUCCACCUUGGAAGCCUCCCUUAUGUCCGUUCCUAAGCACUACUUCCUCCCUCUCCUAAAGGUAAUCACAUCCUGAUUUCUUUUUUGUUUUUCUUUUGAGAUAGGAUCUCACUCUGUCACCCCUGUUGGUGUGCAGUGGUGAGAUCACGGCUCACGGCAGCCUCCAAUUCCUAGGCUCAGGUGUUCCUCCCACCUUAGUCUCCUGUCUGCUGAGUAAUUGAGACCACAGGCACACACCAGCAUACCUGGCUAAUUUUUUUUAUUAUUUGUAGAAACAUGGUCUCCCUGUGUUGCCCAGGCUAGUUUCAAACUCCUGGAAAGCGAUCCUCCCACCUCAGCCACCCAGAGUUCUGGGAUUACAGGCAUGAGCCACCAUGCCCAGCUUACAUUCUGAUUCUAAUACUAUAGAUUGCUUUUGCCUGUUUGUGAGCUUUACAUAAAUGAAAUUAUACUGUAUAUUUAUUUUUCUGUCUGACUUCAUUUGCUCACAUUAAUUUGUGAGAUCUAUGAUCUGUGUUGUAAUUCACUUUUAUUGCCAUGUAUGAAUAUACAAUUUACCAAUUAUUUAUUUAUUUAUUUAUUUACUUAUUUAUUUUGAGACACAGUUUUUCCCAGGCUGGAGCGCAAUGGCACGAUCUUGGCUCACUGCAACCUUGGCCUCCCGGGUUCAAGCGAUUCUCUUGCCUCAGCCUCCCGAGUAUCUGGGAUUACAGGCAUGCGCCACGACACCCAGCUAAUUGUGUAUUUUUAGUAGAGAUGGGGUUUCUCUGUAUUGGUCAGGCUGGUCUCAAACUCCCGACCUCAGGUGAUCCACCCGCCUCAGCCUCCCAAAGUGCUGGGAUUACAGGCAUGAGCCAUGGUGCCCGGCUGUUUUUAUUUUUUUUUUGAGACAGAGUUUCACUCUUGUUGCCUAGGCUGGAGUUCAAUGGCACAAUCUUGGCUCAUGGCAACCUCUACCUCCUGGGUUCAAGCAAUUCUCCUGCCUCAGCCUCCCGAGUAGCUGGGAUUACAGGUGCCUGCCACCAUGCCCGGCUAAUUUUUGUAUUUUUAGUAGAGAUGGGAUUUCACCACGUUGGCCAGGCUGGUCUUGAACUCCUGACCUCGGGUGAUCCACCUGCCUUGGCCUCCCAAAGUGCUGGGAUUACAGGUGUGAGCCACAGCACCCGGCCGCAAUAUACCCGUUUUACCGUUGAUGAUGGACAUUUGAGUUUUUUCUUGUUUGGGCCUGGUCACAUAUAAUGCUGCUACAAACAUCCUCCUUGUACCUGUGUUUUGUUGAACGUAUAUGCUGGGUAUACCUUGGAAUGGAAUUGGUGGGUGAGAGCAUAUUUCUAUAUCCAAGUUUACAAAAAAAAGCAAGUAGUUUUAUAAAAUUGUUUACCAGUUUAUACUUCUACCAGCCAUGUAUGAGAACUUCAGUUCCCGUACAUACCUACCAAGCUGGUCUUACCAGUUUGUUGAGUGUUAACCAUUACUUAUUGUAGUGUGGCUUUAAUUUGCAUUUAUCUGAUAACCAGUGAGGUUGCGUUUCUUUUCCUGUUUUUAUUAGCCAUUAUGGUGUUUUUGUGAAUUACGAAUUCUAGACUUUUGCUUAUUUUUCUGUUUGGUUAGUUGUUUUUUGAGACAGAGUCUCACUCUGUCGCCCAGGCUGGAAUGCGGUGGCGCAAUCUUGGCUCACUGCAACCUCUGCUUCCCUGGUUCGAGCAAUUCUCCUGCCUCAGCCUCCCAAGUAGCUGGGAUUACAGGUGCGUGCCACCACGCCCAGCUAAUUUUUUGUAUUUUUAGUAGAAAUGGGGUUUUGUUAGCCGGUAUGGUCUCAAUCUCCUGAGACUUCGUGAUCCACCCGCCUCGGCCUCCCAAAGUUCUGGGAUUACAGGCUUGAGCCACUGCACCUGGCCCAGUUAGUUUUUUAUGUUAAUGAUUUGUAGCCAUUAUGGUAGCUAAUUUAACAUACUUAUUAUAAUCUAAAGUUUAUCUGCAUGUUUGCACUCUUCUUAAACACUACGACCUUAAAAUGCUUUAACUCCCCAUCACCUGCUUCCAAAUUUAUGUGUUGAAUGCCUUGUAAUUUCGUUCUGUCUUGUUUUAUUUUACAAAUUAGACAUUUUGUGCUCAUAUUCUUAUCCCAUCCAAAAUUU